UUAGUGAAAAUCCAACGGGUGUGUUCUGCCAGAUUAAUUUGGUAGAAAAUCAAAAGAAAACAGUCGGCAAAAAAUCGGAUCAUUUGUUUCAAAAACAAAACGCAGUUCCAAUGAAAAAAUAAGUAAAAACGCCUUUAGUUUGGCUUAUUUUUUCAUAUCAGGAUAUAAAAUACGCCUUAUGUGAUCUCCAGCUUUGACUAUAUUUAGCAAGGAUAUAGAGAGGCACAAUAUAGCCCAAUCUUCCAUUUGUUCUGCGAAAUCAGAUAAAAAUGCUUCAUUUAUAAAAUCGCGAGGUAGAUCCGUAUGACAGAUGAAUCGAGAUAUGGUCCGAUUUAAAUCGGAUUUGGGAUAGGUGUCAGUGUUCUAAUACCACUCUGUAUAACAAAUUUCCGUAUUUUAAGGCAAAAAUACCUGCUACAAUAAAUGAAUUCUGGAAGUCUAAUCGACCGAUCUACAUACAUGGCAAGUGCAAAUUUGCCAAUGAACAUUCCAUUACGGAACAGAGAUAAACAGCGCUGUCCGAUUCAAGUUUAAGCUCAAUAACAAGGGACCUCUUUGGGGAGAAGUUUUUACAAGGCAUAGUACUUCACAAAUGUCGCCAACAAUAGGAGGGGAUAACCACCGCUGAUGUUGUCCCUUGGAUUCGAACCCAGGCGAACAGAUUCGUAGGCAGACAUGCUAACCUCUGCGUUACGGUAAUUUCUUAUUUUGAAUGUGUGCCGCUGAGAAUGAUGAUUGAUAAUUUCUCGGAAGAUUGAUGCUAUUAAAUAUUAAUUGAAAAGUACAACUUUUACAUUUGUGUUUAUCUAUAUGACCACAACAAGACUAAUUCCAUUUAAUUUUUAAUAUCCUCAAACUGUUUUGGUCGAACGACGACAGGUGCAAAUAGCGCACUUUUUUUUAAAUGCCAUUGUUAAAUAAUUUAUAAAAUAUAUGUUUUUGUAUUCUUUUUUUUCUCAAUUUUAGGAAAUUUAAAUGACUCUCCGCUCGAUGCAACUGAUUGUCCGCGACUGCCGUUGCAGCUACCCCGUAUGGAGCAUUCCACUAUCCGCAACCUCUGGACGCGCCCGGUAGCUCGCAACCAAGCUUCUCGUGACAGCAAUUAACACCACAUAUAUUGGAGCUCAUUGUUCCAGCCUGUGUGGUGUGUGUUCUAUCUUUCGUCUGCUUGAUUCUGUUGAGUGACCUGAUCCCGGAACUCUACGACUAAGAUGGGGUGCGUCCAGAAGGAUCUGGGUCUCAUUUGAGUGGGUCCGGCUGGACAGGUAAACAGGUGACGUGCGUCGUAUGGUCGCUGGUCACAAUCGCAACAUACAUCCUACACGUUGGCAUCAAUCCUUGCUCUGUAGGAAUUGAGGCGGCUGCAUCUGCCGGAUCGUAGUUGAGCCAGAAGUUCUCUGGUUUGCCGGGGGAGGUCAAUUUCUUCAGGUGCAAUGAGAGAUGGUCAUUCUCCAAGGACCACAUUCACCCGGUAGCUAUUCAUCGUAUCUGCUACCGUGUCUGCUUGAAUGUUGUCUAUAUCCGCUUGAUACGCUUGAUCUAGAGGUUUAUAUAAAUACUGCGGUUUAUAUAAAUAACGCGCGGUUAUCCGAUAUAGAGAUGCUUUGUCAUCUGGUUACAAAGACAAGUGGUGAGGCCGGAGAAAUCGUCUCGCGAUUUCCUCUUACGAACGGCUGUUUUGCCUUAGCCUGGGAUGCCCUUCGAGAAAACUACGUGUGUUGGUUAACGGCCAGUUGAGAAAGUUCUUCGAUUUACCUAUUUUGGAUCAAGAAACUACGUCGGGAUUGAAGAACUUCCAACACGGUAUUAAGAGUCGUUUAUCUGCAAUGUCAGUCUAUCAUGUUGAUAUGUGGGAUCAUUUAAUCGUUUUUAUGUGCUUUCAACGUUUGUCUAAUUGCUUUGUAACACUUUGGGAUUAAAGUGUACGGAAUCAGUCCGCUCUGUCAACAUGGAAGGAAAUGGAUCUCUUUCUCACGGAAAGAAUUCAGAAAUUAACAUGCCUUAGCGAACUCAAAGGCACGAGUAAUAAUUUCAGAUCAGCUAAAGGAUACAAAACUGUAAAUGAUAAUUUCAGCAACUCGAGAACCUCGACUUCCACCCCUAAUUCUUCGAGAAUGGCAUGCGUGCUAUGUCCUGGUCAGUUUACGACAGUACGGCGACAUCAGGGGUCGAAUUACCGCAUACGUGAACGAGUAAAAUAGUUUGAAAAUUUUUGUUUUGCCAUUACCACAUUCGUUAACGAAUAAGCACUAUCGAUAUUCGAGAUUAUGGCAUUCGUUAACGAGUGUAACUGCUAGGAGUCAGGAGCAAUCGAAUGGAAUCGUUACUUGAAAUAAAAUGGCCGACAAAAGGUUGAAAUGGCUCAAUUCAUGACCAUCCGAGUUUGGCAAAAGUAUGUUGCCAAAUUGUAACCAAGGGAAGUUUAUAGGCUAUAGAAGGAAUAGUUCCCCCAGUUAAAUGAAUCUACCACCAGUGUUUAUAUCAACAACUCACUGUGUAAGAAAACAUUGGACUUUUUUAACUAUGAUGAGGCACUAACAAAUUAUGGAUAUAGGUUCGUUUAUGCGAGAAAUGGCCGUGUCUUCUACAAACGUAGUGAGAUAUGUAAUGCAAAAGUUAUAAAUUCUACUGAGGAAGUUGAUAAACUAAUACUUAAUGCCACAAAAAAUAAAUUGAGAGUGAUGCUCCUAAUGUUUUCGAAGAUGAUGACGGCUUUGGCGUCCGGUUUACAUGGGAGCUAUAUCAGGUUAUAGACUGAUUUGGACCAUACUUGGCACAGUUGUUGAAAGUCAUAACAAUGCACUACAUGCUCAAUUUCAGACAAAUCGGACAUAAAUUGCGGCUUGUAAGGGCUCAAGAGGUUAAAGCGGAAUAUCGGUUUAUAUGGGAGCUAUAUAUAAAUCUGAACCGAUAAGGCCAAUUUGCAAUCCCCAACGACCUACCAAAUUUCAAGUGGCUAGCUUUACGCGUUCGAACUCUAUCGUGAUUUCGACAGACGGACGGACAUGUCUAGAUCGACUCAGAACGUCGAGACCAUCAAGAAUAUAUAUUCUUUAUGCGGUCUUAGACGAAUACUUCAAGGUGUUACAAACGAAAUGACUAGAUUAGUAUACUCCCAUCCUAUGGUGGUGGGUAUACAAAAAAAUAUUCUGUUGAUUUAUUGGUCUUUUUAUACCCACCACCGAUGGAUGGAGGUAUAAUCAUUUUGUCAUUCCGUUUGCAACACAUCAAAAUAUCCAUUUCCGAGAAUAUAUAUUCUUGAUCGUCGUAAAAAUCUAAGACUGGCCCCGAUCGGUCCGAUAUCUCGAUUUAAGGCCUUAGGCCCAAAAAAAGCGCAUUUCUUGUCCGAUUUCACCGAAAUGUGGGACAGUGAGUUGUUUUAGGCCCUUUGACAUCCUUCUUCAAUUUGGCCUAGAUCGAUCCAAAUUUGGAUAUAGCUGCCAUAUAGACCGAGCUCUCAAUUUAAGAGUUUGGCCCCAUAAACGACGCAUUUAAAUCCGAUUUCGCCGAAAUUUGGGACAGAGGAUAGUGUUAGUCCGUUCGACAUCCCUCUUCAAUUUGGCCCAGGUCGGUUCAGAUUUGGAUAUAGCUGUCAUAAAGAUAAAUCUCUCGAUUUAAAGUCCAUGGCCCCAUAAAAGGCGCAUUUAUAAUCCGAUUUCGCUGAAAUUUGACAUAGUGACUUGUGUUAGGCUUUUCGACACCCUUGUCCUAUAUGAUUUAGAUCGGUCUGUAUUUGGAUAUAGCUGCGAAAAAGACCAAUAUUUUAUUCAAUAAAAUUUAACAGUGACUUCCAAAUCGGACCAUGGCAUACGGGGGCAUAAAUUAUGCUUUUUUUUCACCGGAUUAUGACGAAAGGUGGUUUACAUAUAUACCCGAGGUGGAACUUUUUGAAUUGAAAUGCAAACUACAUUUUGUUCAGCUAUGGAAUAUUAUUAAUUUUUCUCUGAAUCAAUAAAACAAUGUGGAUAUGGCGUAAAGGAAAUUCUAUGAAAAUUAAUAUGGUGCUUUCCUCUUUGCUGAUUCUAAACAAUUGGGAAUUUCUCCAAAGCCACUGACAACCUCAAGUGUAAAUGUUUUUAUUUGAAUUGUUAAUAUAUAUGAAAUACAUAUUCGCAAAGUGUAUACACGAAAAAUAUUAAUAAACAAAAGACAAGAUAUAAAUAAAUAAAU